GCGCACACUCACAGAGAGGCACAGAGGCGGUUAACUGUUGCAGUCUUGCUUCAGGGUCGCAUAAGAAGAGCACGUUUGGGAUUUUUUCCUUUAUAUAAUUAGCCACACAUUUGAUCUUCAGGGUCAUUUUGAGAACGGGGCAGGAACAGCUGAAGGAAGGGCAUGGGACCUGCCAUCCAUUUUCCUAGGGAAGACUGAAAGCGAUUUGCCCAAAGCUGAAGUUAGAAGCGAGCUUCCAGGUGGGAAUCCCAAGUACAGAAAUCCAAGAUCCCCUAAAUUCAGUGGGGUGAACAGUAGGGGCCAUCUCAUCAGUCCCCAUAAGCUCACUCUUUCACCCCGAGACCAUUGAGAGAUCCGGUAACCUCUGUACACUCAGAAUCCCAGGGCAAACUCCACACCGCGCUCCCUGACGAAACUGGGUUUCAACUCACAGUCUCUGCACUUUUUGCGCGCCACUUUUUGCUGCACUGCCGAGUCCAUCUUGUUACCAUCUGUUGCCACAGCAACCGCAGAGUGUGGCUCACACUCUAGUAAGAGGAACGAUGAUUGGAGGAGGCGGGCGUCCCUAGCAACCGCCAGACCUUCGUUAGCUUCUUUUCGCCCUGUGGGCUCCAUCAACACAGACUGCAUUAUUUCCAUCCCUGCACUUAAAAUAGUAACCGGUCUGAGACGAACACCGCAUAAAUACUUGUUGGCUGCAUGAAGUGGCACACCGCAAUACCAGGAACCAGGGGUAACUGUGGGGGUGUGAAAGAGAGUUAAGACAGAAAAGCCUCUGUCUUCAGGGACUUUGGAUGCCUGUGGAAGAAAUGAAUUACAAACUGUACUGGCAAGCCAUGUGCAGAACUGGGUGGUUUCAUUUCUGAGUGUUAUGGGAAGUCAUUCUGCAAACCCCCCCCCCCAAAGGUUCCUUUAUUCUUUCUAUUGCAUCUCAAUUCAAGGUUGCACAUGUAAAAUACCUCCUGUAUACCAACCACUGAUAAGGAGCCAUCAAGACAGACAUCAACUCUGUCUGAGGAGCCUAUGCCCUGUGGACAGUAUGCCCAGCUCAGCUGACACUGGUGGCCAUUUAUGGCCUCCGAUGGCCACUGAGUUCUUGCCUUGUGUCUGCUCCUAACUAGAAGGUGGGAUAGAUGUGAAGUUGUGUCAUAAAGACUUUGAGGAAAAGAAGAAUGAAAAAAAUACCUCUUUGCUAAUUUAAAAAAUAUUGAUUUCACAUUGAAAUGAUGAAGUUUUAGAUAUGCUAGGUUGGACGUUUUGUUAUUAAAACCAAUCUUCAAUUUUCU
ensembl:lincRNA Gm26832 predicted gene, 26832